UUAGUUGCAUGCCUCCACGUGUCAUCAUCUGAGAGGGACGCGGUCCAGACAAAGGUGCACUCCGUGCCGCCGAAGGUACAGACAAUCGCAGACACGCGCAGACACUCACGUUCUACUGAUUCUGGAGGUACGUUGCCACAGAAAAGCACAACAGGGUUCUGACACAUGCCAGAGAGGCAUAACAGAAUUCUGUUAGGCGCAGGUACAGAGGGAGGCAUAAAAG
rnacentral:lncRNA from 1 species